rnacentral:rRNA from 1 species
AUCUAGCGAAACCACAGCCAAGGGAACGGGCUUGGAAU